GCCUAGGUGGCUCAGUCAGUUAAGCAUCUGACUUUGGCUUAGGUCAUGAUCUCACGGUUCGUGGGUUCGAGCCCCACAUCGGGCU
rnacentral:tRNA from 1 species